UGACGGUACCUGACUAAGAAGCCCCGGCUAACUACGUGCCAGCAGCCGCGGUAAUACGUAGGGGGCAAGCGUUAUCCGGAUUUACUGGGUGUAAAGGGAGCGUAGACGGCUUUGCAAGUCUGAUGUGAAAGGCAGGGGCUCAACUCCUGGACUGCAUUGGAAACUGCAGAGCUUGAGUGCCGGAGGGGUAAGCGGAAUUCCUAGUGUAGCGGUGAAAUGCGUAGAUAUUAGGAGGAACACCAGUGGCGAAGGCGGCUUACUGGACGGUAACUGACGUUGAGGCUCGAAAGCGUGGGGAGCAAACAGGAUUAGAUACCCUG
rnacentral:rRNA from 1 species